rnacentral:rRNA from 1 species
AGGCUUAACACAUGCAAGUCGAGGGGAAACAUGACCUAACUCUUGGUUGAUGGCGACCGCCACACGGGUAAGUAACACUUAUCCAACCCACCGCUUACUCCGGGAUGGCCAUUCGAAAGAAAAAUUAAUACCAGAUACUAUAGCCAGAACGCAUCUUUUUGUUAUAAAAAAAUUUCAAUAACCGAUGGGGAUGCGUUACAUUAGUUAGUUGGCGGGGGAACGGCCCACCAACACAUCGAUGGAUAAGGGUUCUGAGAGGAAAGUCCCCCGCCUUGCAACUGACACACGGUCCAAACUCCUACGGGAGGCAGCAGUGAGGAAUAUUGGUCAAUGGACGAGAGUCUGAACCAGCCAAGUAGCGUGCAGGAUGACUGCCCUACGGGUUGUAAACUUCUUUUAUAUGGGAAUAAAGUGAGUCUCGUGAGGCUUUUUGCAUGUACCAUACGAAUAAGGAUCGGCUAACUCCGUGCCAGCAGCCGCGGUAAUACGGAGGAUCCGAGCGUUAUCCGGAUUUAUUGGGUUUAAAGGGAGCGUAGGCGGACUAUUAAGUCAGCUGUGAAAGUUUGCGGCUCAACCUUAAAAUUGCAGCUGAUACUGGUCGUCUUGAGUGCACUCGAGGUAGGCGGAAUUCGUGGUGUAGCGGUGAAAUGCUUAGAUAUCACGAAGAACUCCGAUUGCGAAGGCAGCUCACUGGACCGCAACUGACGCUGAUGCUCGAAAGUGCGGGUAUCAAACACGAUUAGAUACCCUGGUAGUCCACACAGUAAAAGAGAAAUACUCGCUGUUUUCGAUAUACGGCAAGCGGCCAAGCGAACGCAUUAACUAUUCCACCUGGGGAGUCCGCCGCCACCGGUGAAUCUCAAAGGAAUGGGCGGGGGCCCGCACAAGCGGGGACACAUGUGGUAUAAUUGGAAGAUACGCGAAGCACUUCCCCCGGGCGUAAAUCACAUGAGAGUAAUGGAGACACAGACUACCUUUAAGGCAUAUGUGAAGGUGCUGCAUGGUUGUCGUCAGCUCGUGCCGUGAGGUGUCGGCUUAAGUGCCAUAACGAGCGCAACCCCUAUCUUUAGUUACCAUCAGGUCAUGCUGAGCACUCUAGAGACACUGCCGUCGUAAGAUGUGAGGAAGGUGGGGAUGACGUCAAAUCAGCACGGCCCUUACGUCCGGGGCUACACACGUGUUACAAUGGCGGGUACAGAGGGCAGGUACCCAGCGAAGUGAAUCUAAUCCCAAAAGCCUCUCUCAGUUCGGAUUGGAGUCUGCAACCCGACUCCACGAAGCUGGAUUCGCUAGUAAUCGCGCAUCAGCCACGGCGCGGUGAAUACGUUCCCGGGCCUUGCACA